rnacentral:rRNA from 1 species
GACGAACGCUGGCGGCGUGCCUAAUACAUGCAAGUCGAGCGCAGGAAACUGACGGAACUCUUCGGAGGGAAGGCAGCGGAAUGAGCGGCAGACGGGUGAGUAACACGUAAGGAACCUGCCUCAAGGAUUGGGAUAACUCCGAGAAAUCGGAGCUAAUACCGGAUAGUUCAUCGGACCGCAUGGUCCGUUGAUGAAAGGCGCUUCGGCGUCACCUUGAGAUGGCCUUGCGGUGCAUUAGCUAGUUGGUGGGGUAACGGCCCACCAAGGCGACGAUGCAUAGCCGACCUGAGAGGGUGAUCGGCCACACUGGGACUGAGACACGGCCCAGACUCCUACGGGAGGCAGCAGUAGGGAAUCUUCCACAAUGGACGAAAGUCUGAUGGAGCAACGCCGCGUGAGUGAUGAAGGUUUUCGGAUCGUAAAACUCUGUUGUAAGGGAAGAACACGUACGAGAGGGAAUGCUCGUACCUUGACGGUACCUUACGAGAAAGCCACGGCUAACUACGUGCCAGCCGCCGCCGUAAUAC